GAUGAACGCUGGCGGUAUGCUUAACACAUGCAAGUCGAACGGACUCCUCGGAGUUAGUGGCGGACGGGUGAGUAACGCGUGAGAAUCUGGCUUUGGGUUCGGGACAACCACUGGAAACGGUGGCUAAUACCGGAUGUGCCGAGAGGUAAAAGAGAAAUUGCCUGAAGAUGAGCUCGCGUCUGAUUAGCUAGUUGGUGAGGUAAAGGCUCACCAAGGCAGCGAUCAGUAGCUGGUCUGAGAGGAUGACCAGCCACACUGGGACUGAGACACGGCCCAGACUCCUACGGGAGGCAGCAGUGGGGAAUUUUCCGCAAUGGGCGAAAGCCUGACGGAGCAGUACCGCGUGAGGGAAGAAGGCUCUUGGGUUGUAAACCUCUUUUCUUAGGGAAGAACAAAAUGACGGUACCUAAGGAAUCAGCAUCGGCUAACUCCGUG
rnacentral:rRNA from 1 species